AUACGGGAGGCAGCAGUGGGGAAUUUUGGACAAUGGGGGAAACCCUGAUCCAGCAAUGCCGCGUGUGCGAAGAAGGCCUUCGGGUUGUAAAGCACUUUUGUCAGGGAAGAAAUCCUUUGGGCUAAUACCCUAGGGGGAUGACGGUACCUGAAGAAUAAGCACCGGCUAACUACGUGCCAGCAGCCGCGGUAAUACGUAGGGUGCAAGCGUUAAUCGGAAUUACUGGGCGUAAAGCGUGCGCAGGCGGUUGUGUAAGACAGGUGUGAAAUCCCCGGGCUUAACCUGGGAAUUGCAUUUGUGACUGCACGACUAGAGUGUGUCAGAGGGGGGUGGAAUUCCACGUGUAGCAGUGAAAUGCGUAGAUAUGUGGAGGAACACCAAUGGCGAAGGCAGCCCCCUGGGAUAACACUGACGCUCAUGCACGAAAGCGUGGGGAGCAAACAGGAUUAGAUACCCUGGUAGUCCU
rnacentral:rRNA from 1 species